AGUCUAAUAGGACAGGAGUGAGCACAGAGGAGUGCUAGUCCCGCCCCUCACUUCCUGGACUUCAGCUUGGACAAAGAUGAUGCUGCAAACGGACAGGAUUAUGUUCUGGAUGUCAACAGGAGAGAGAUCCUCAUGUGGAUGUAAUUGAUAGACAAGCCCCAUCAUUCAGGCGGAGGAAAUGAAAGGCGUGUGCGUGUUAUCUGUCCCCGGUACCAGCAAGUCAUUUAGUCAACCUUCCCAGAGAUAAAGAUAAAAGAACAAAGAGGUGCGCACCUCAUGCAGAUCACCCAAAAGGAAAAGACAAGAAACAAAGGCAAGACGGAU